rnacentral:rRNA from 1 species
GACGAACGCUGGCGGCGUGCUUAACACAUGCAAGUCGAGCGGUAAGGCCCUUUCGGGGGUACACGAGCGGCGAACGGGUGAGUAACACGUGGGUGACCUGCCCUCAGCUCUGGGAUAAGCCUGGGAAACCGGGUCUAAUACCGGAUAUGACUCCAUGACGCAUGUUGUGGGGUGGAAAGCCUUGUGCGGCUGAGGAUGGGCCCGCGGCCUAUCAGCUUGUUGGUGGGGUGAUGGCCUACCAAGGCGACGACGGGUAGCCGGCCUGAGAGGGCGACCGGCCACACUGGGACUGAGACACGGCCCAGACUCCUACGGGAGGCAGCAGUGGGGAAUCUUGCGCAAU